GUCCUUUAGAUAUUAAUUUAAGGUCUAACCUGCCCACUGAAAUAUUUUAAAUGGCCGCAGUAAUUUGACUGUGCAAAGGUAGCAUAAUCAUUAGUUUUUUAAUUAAAAGCUUGUAUGAAAGGUUGGACGAAGUAAAAUCUGUCUCUAAUUAAAUUAAUUUAGAAUUUAACUUUUAAGUUAAAAGGCUUAAAUUUAACUAAAAGACGAGAAGACCCUAUAGAUCUUUAUAUUUUUAUUAUUAAAUUUAAUUAAGAAUUUUUAAAAUUUUAUUAAUUUAAAUAUUUUAUUGGGGUAAUAUAAAGAUUAAAAUAAUUCUUUUUUUUUAUUAACAUUAAUUUAUGAUUUUUAUGAUCCAAUUAUAUUGAUUUUAAGAUUAAGUUACCUUAGGGAUAACAGCGUAAUUUUUUUAGAGAGUUCUUAUCGAUAAAAAAGUUUGCGACCUCGAUGUUGGAUUAAAGAUUAUUUUAGGUGCAGAAGUUUAAAAAUUUUGGUCUGUUCGACCAUUAAAUCUUUACAUGAUCUGAGUUCAGACCGGUGUAAGCCAGGUCGGUUUCUAUCUUUAGUAAAUUAAAAUAUUUCAGUACGAAAGGACCAAUUAUUUAAUAUAAAUAUUUAUAUUUUGAUUAUUAUUAA
rnacentral:rRNA from 4 species